rnacentral:rRNA from 1 species
UCGGUCCCUAUCCGGCGUGGGCGUAGGAUAUUUGAGAGGAGCUGUCCUUAGUACGAGAGGACCGGGAUGGACUGGCCGCUGGUGUAUCUGUUGUUUUACCAAGAGCAUAGCAGAGUAGCCAAGCCGGGAAGGGAUAAACGCUGAAGGCAUCUAAGCGUGAAGCCCCCCUCAAGAUGAGAUAUCCCAUAACGUCAAGUUAGUAAGACCCCUUGAAGACGACGAGGUAGAUAGGGCAGAGGUGGAAGUGUGGUAACACAUGGAGCUGACUGUUACUAAUAGGUCGAGGGCAUAACCAA